rnacentral:rRNA from 1 species
UACGUAGGGUGCAAGCGUUGUCCGGAAUUAUUGGGCGUAAAGAGCUCGUAGGCGGCUUGUCACGUCGACUGUGAAAACCCGGGGCUCAACUCCGGGCCUGCAGCCGAUACGGGCAGACUAGAGUUCGGCAGGGGAGACUGGAAUUCCUGGUGUAGCGGUGAAAUGCGCAGAUAUCAGGAAGAACACCGGUGGCGAAGGCGGCUCUCUGGGCCUUACCUGACGCUGAGGAGCGAAAGCGUGGGUAGCGAACAGG